rnacentral:rRNA from 1 species
CCUACGGGAGGCAGCAGUGGGGAAUUUUGGACAAUGGGCGCAAGCCUGAUCCAGCAAUGCCGCGUGAGUGAAGAAGGCCUUCGGGUUGUAAAGCUCUUUUGUCAGGGAAGAAACGGUGAGGGCUAAUAUCCCUUGCUAAUGACGGUACCUGAAGAAUAAGCACCGGCUAACUACGUGCCAGCAGCCGCGGUAAUACGUAGGGUGCAAGCGUUAAUCGGAAUUACUGGGCGUAAAGCGUGCGCAGGCGGUUGUGCAAGACCGAUGUGAAAUCCCCGGGCUUAACCUGGGAAUGGCAUUGGUGACUGCACGGCUAGAGUGUGUCAGAGGGGGGUAGAAUUCCACGUGUAGCAGUGAAAUGCGUAGAGAUGUGGAGGAAUACCGAUGGCGAAGGCAGCCCCCUGGGAUAACACUGACGCUCAUGCACGAAAGCGUGGGGAGCAAACAGGAUUAGAUACCCUGGUAGUCCACGCCCUAAACGAUGUCAACUAGUUGUCGGGUCUUAAUUGACUUGGUAACGCAGCUAACGCGUGAAGUUGACCGCCUGGGGAGUACGGUCGCAAGAUUAAAACGUCAAAUUGAAAUUGACGG